AGGCAAACGGAGAGGACCGUAUGGUCCGCCCGUCGGAUUCAGUCCGCCUGCGCGGCGCGAGCGUCGGUUGCGCAUCCCUCGUGGGAGCGUGCCGGCGUCUUGUCGUCGUGCGGCGGCCGUACUUUCGGCGGGCGGAGCGCCACGACCGGUUUGCGUGCGGCGAGAAACUCCCGGGUAAGGUGACCUUCGCCUCGGCGUCGGAACAUAUAGACUCGGCGAGCGCAGGCCCGUACGCAGACCGAGGAAGACCGUCGCGGAGCGGCGUCGACCGCCCGUCGUGGGCGCGCGUUCGACUCGGGGGGACUGGUUCCAGUGCCCUCGGACCGCGUGCGUCUAGCGGCGGGACGGCCCGGCGUCGCGCCUGGGGUCGGUGGCGAAACGGCCGGCAACCUGUCCGACCCGUCUUGAAACACGGACCAAGGAGUCUAACAUGUGCGCGAGUCGUUGGGCGUUACGAAACCCGAAGGCGCAAUGAAAGUGAAGGCCCGGUCUCGUGCCGGCCUGGGUGGGAUCCGGACGGUCGCGGCCGUCCGGCGCACCACCGGCCCGUCUCGUUAGCCGCGUCUAUGAGGCGGAGCAAGAGCGUACACGUUGGGACCCGAAAGAUGGUGAACUAUGCCUGAGUAGGACGAAGCCAGAGGAAACUCUGGUGGAGGUCCGCAGCGAUUCUGACGUGCAAAUCGAUCGUCAAACUUGGGUAUAGGGGCGAAAGACUAAUCGAACCAUCUAGUAGCUGGUUCCUGUCGAAGUUUCCC
rnacentral:rRNA from 2 species